GACGUAGGGUGCGAGCGUUGUCCGGAUUUAUUGGGCGUAAAGAGCUCGUAGGCGGCCUGUUGCGUCAGCUGUGAAAACCCGCGGCUUAACCGUGGGCCUGCAGCUGAUACGGGCAGGCUGGAGUUCGGUAGGGGAGACUGGAAUUCCAGGUGUAGCGGUGAAAUGCGUAGAUAUCUGGAGGAAUACCGGUGGCGAAGGCGGCAUCCUGGACCGGCAUUGACGCUGAGUGAGCGAAAGCCAGGGGAGCAAAGCGGG
rnacentral:rRNA from 1 species